rnacentral:rRNA from 1 species
AUUGAACGCUGGCGGCAGGCCUAACACAUGCAAGUCGAGCGAGUGGCGGACGGGUGAGUAAUGUUUGGGGAUCUGCCUUAUGGAGGGGGAUAACUACUGGAAACUGUAGCUAAUACCGCGUACCAUAGGAUGAGCCCAUGUGGGCUUAGGUAGUUGGUGAGGUAAAGGCUCACCAAGGCGACGAUCUCUAGCUGGUCUGAGAGGAUGAUCAGCCACACUGGGACUGAGACACGGCCCAGACUCCUACGGGAGGCAGCAGUGGGGAAUAUUGCACAAUGGGCGCAAGCCUGAUACAGCCAUGCCGCGUGUAUGAAGAAGGCCUUAGGGUUGUAAAGUACUUUCAGCGGGGAGGCGUUACCCGCAGAAGAAGCACCGGCUAACUCCGUGCCAGCAGCCGCGGUAAUUC